rnacentral:rRNA from 1 species
CGCUCCGGCUUGUGCUAUACAUGCAGUCGAACGCUUUGUGGUCCAACUGAUUUGAAGAGCUUGCUCAGAUAUGACGAUGGACAUUGCAAAGAGUGGCGAACGGGUGAGUAACACGUGGGAAACCUACCUCUUAGCAGGGGAUAACACUUGGAAACAAGUGCUAAUACCGUAUAACACUAAUAACCGCAUGGUUAUUAGUUAAAAGAUGGUCUUGCUAUCACUAAGAGAUGGUCCCGCGGUGUAUUAGCUGGUUGGUAAGGUAAUGGCUUACCAAGGCAAUGAUACAUAGCCGAGUUGAGAGACUGAUCGGCCACAAUGGGACUGAGACACGGCCCAUACUCCUACGGGAGGCAGCAGUAGGGAAUCUUCCACAAUGGACGAAAGUCUGAUGGAGCAACGCCGCGUGUGUGAUGAAGGGUUUCGGCUCGUAAAACACUGUUGUAAGAGAAGAAUGACAUUGAGAGUAACUGUUCAGUGUGUGACGGUAUCUUACCAGAAAGGAACGGCUAAAUACGUGCCAGCAGCCGCGGUAAUACGUAUGUUCCAAGCGUUAUCCGGAUUUAUUGGGCGUAAAGCGAGCGCAGACGGUUAUUUAAGUCCGAAGUGAAAGCCCACAGCUUAACUGUGGAAGUGCUUUGGAAACUGGAUAACUUGAGUGCAGUAGAGGAGAGUGGAACUCCAUGUGUAGCGGUGAAAUGCGUAGAUAUAUGGAAGAACACCAGUGGCGAAGGCGGCUCUCUGGACUGUAACUGACGUUGAGGCUCGAAAGUGUGGGUAGCAAACAGGAUUAGAUACCCUGGUAGUCCACACCGUAAACGAUGAGUGCUAGAUGUUUGAGGGUUUCCGCCCUUAAGUGUCGCAGCUAACGCAUUAAGCACUCCGCCUGGGGAGUACGACCGCAAGGUUGAAACUCAAAGGAAUUGACGGGGACCCGCACAAGCGGUGGAGCAUGUGGUUUAAUUCGAAGCAACGCGAAGAACCUUACCAGGUCUUGACAUCCUUUGACACUUCAGAGAUGAGCUUUCCCUUCGGGGACAAAGUGACAGUGUGCAUGUGUCGUCAGCUCGUGUCGUGAGAUGUUGGGUUAGUCCCGCACGAGCGCACCCUAUACUAGUGCAGCAUUCAGUUGGGCACUCUAGUGAGACUGCGGUGACAAACCGGAGAAGGUGGGAUGACGUCAUCAUCAUGCCCUUAUGACUGCUACACACGUGCUACAUGGCAGUACAACGAAGCAGCUAACCGAGU